rnacentral:lncRNA from 1 species
UCGGCGGAGGAAUUGUCGCUUCGGGGAAUUUUGGUGAGGGUGAAGUUGGUGAAAUCCUGGGAAAGUUUUUGGACAACCUGUAAGUAAGCAUUCAUUCGGUCAUUUCUCGUCUCGUAUUCACUGCUGAAUUGAUUGGCGACGAGUUGAGAGUCGCAGAGUUUCUAUCUUGUUCGCACCAACCGCUUUUGCAAGACGGAGACCAGCGAUGAGAGCUUCGUAUUCAGCUUCGUUAUUGGAAGCUGGGAAAGCGAGGCGAAAAGACUGCUCGAUGAUCUCACUGGUAGGAGAUAUGAGUCGUAUUCCAACACCUGAUCCGUUUCGUGAAGAUGAGCCGUC